CUACGGGCGGCAGCAGUGGGGAAUCUUGGACAAUGGGCGCAAGCCUGAUCCAGCCAUGCCGCGUGAGUGAAGAAGGUCUUCGGAUUGUAAAGCUCUUUUGCCAGGGACGAUAAUGACGGUACCUGGAGAAUAAGCCCCGGCAAACUUCGUGCCAGCAGCCGCGGUAAUACGAAGGGGGCUAGCGUUGUUCGGAAUUACUGGGCGUAAAGCGCACGUAGGCGGGUCGUUAAGUCAGGGGUGAAAUCCCGGAGCUCAACUCCGGAACUGCCUUUGAUACUGGCGAUCUUGAGAUCGGAAGAGGUGAGUGGAAUUCCCAGUGUAGAGGUGAAAUUCGUAGAUAUUGGGAAGAACACCAGUGGCGAAGGCGGCUCACUGGUCCGAUACUGACGCUGAGGUGCGAAAGCGUGGGGAGCAAACAGGAUUAGAUACCCUCGUAGUC
rnacentral:rRNA from 1 species